UGGAAAUGUCAACCCACUGGUUGGAAUGGGAAGCUGCUGUGUUGUGAGCCACCUUAUGGAAAACCCAUGUGGCAGAGAACCGAGGGUGGUGGCUGGCCAACAGCAAGCCAGGAGCUGAGGCCCACAGUCCAACAACUGAGACUGGGUCCCACCAUAUUGCCUGGGCUGGCCUCGGACUCUUGACCCCAAGUGAUCCUCUGGCCUCAGCCUCCCAAGCAGCUGGAUUUACAGGCAGGCACCACCGCACCGAGCUAAAAACGCCUGGCUUCCCUGGGCCUGCUGCACCUGCUCUGGCUAGGUUGGAGAGGGCUGCAGGGAGGACCGCAGUCAGCAGAGGGCGCCAAAGCCUCUCAACACAAGCAUGGCCCAGGCCUGGCCCAGAAGGAGAGCGCUGAGAGCCAGGACUGGCGGGCUACGUGCGCCCUGUGGAUUCCCCCAUUUCCCAUGCUUCAUCCAGCCAUGGGCCUGCAGUGCACUCACAAAUGUGCAUAUACCCUCCUGUGUGUGUGUUACACUCAUCAAAUUGUCUCUGAAUUUGCUUGGCUUCAUGUGUUCCUGUGUGUGUUUAUGUGUGUGUGUGGUGUGUCUGGUGUAUCUGGUUCCCCAGGAAGCACAUUUGACAGCCCCACAGUCAGGGUCAGGGCACAGGGACAGAUACUGUGUCUAUAACAAUCCAUAACACUGAUUUUGUUCAUCUCAAUAAAUGUGAGAAUGAAAUAAAAA
rnacentral:lncRNA from 10 species